rnacentral:rRNA from 1 species
UACGAAGGGUGCUAGCGUUGUUCGGAAUCACUGGGCGUAAAGCGCGCGUAGGCGGCUUUUCAAGUCAGGGGUGAAAUCCCACAGCUUAACUGUGGAACUGCCUUUGAAACUGUAAAGCUAGAGUGUCGGAGGGGAUGGCGGAAUUGCUAAUGUAGAGGUGAAAUUCGUAGAUAUUAGCAGGAACACCGGUGGCGAAGGCGGCCAUCUGGACGACAACUGACGCUGAGGCGCGAAAGCGUGGGGAUCAAACAGG